GCUCCCCUGCAGGCAGGGAGGGUGGGGGAUGUCAGUGCGUGGCCCAGGAUGGACAGAUGCUUCGGCGUCUGCAUUUGACAAGCAUGCAGCACCUACAACCACGUUAAGCACGUCCUUCCACACAGACCUCACCGUUGUGCCCUGCUGGGAGGGGUGCGCGGCCACUCGGGAUAGGGGGUUGCAGGGCCAGGAAUAUUGGGGGCGUGUCUACCGUGGGCGUGGCAAUCUGGGCGUGGCCAUGUGGCUAAUUUGGGGCACAGUACUGGAGGCAUGACUAUUUGAGGAUGUUUCUACUGGGUGAGGUUACUUAGGGCGUGGCUAUUCCUGAAUGUGGUUACUCAGGGCAUGGUAAUUGGGGUGUAUUUGGUCAUGUUGCUCCCAUAGGCGUGGCUGUUCAGGGGGCUGCUAUGAGGGACGUGGCUAUUCGGAAAGUAGCUAUUUGAGGGCAUGGGUAUUUGGGAGGUGUUUGAAGGCAUGCACGUUUGGGGGCUAAGGCUAUUUGUGGCGUGGUUACUGGGGCAAGCCUAUUUUCAGCAUCAGCCGUGUGGUAAGGCUAUUCAGGGGCGUGGCCGUGUGAGCUGGAGUGGAGGGGCCGAACCUCUAGCAUGAAUGGCGAAUUCUUUGUGGGACUUUGUGAGCCUCAAGGAACAUGUACCCUAAGCAGGGGCAACAUUCAAAAUAGUUCAUUAAUCCGACUAUGACCAUAUGAUAGCGAAGGGGUUUGUGCCUGGGAAUUUGUUAGUCCCAGCCUAAGUUGGACUAAAGGAUAUGAAACACGGGUGCUGAUACCGCAUCAGCAUACUCUGUUCUCAAAAUCCUCUCUGUGCAGGUGGGAAGCUGAGGCCCUGCCCCUGAGCUUGCUCUAGUGCUCGCCUCUUAGAUGCAAGAUCUUAGUGGGCAAGACCACAAGGGCCAGUGCCAGCACGACUCUAGUGUCUGCGGAUUGCCCAGGAUUGUGGACACCCACUGCACCCCAUGUUUCCUACCCUAAAUGUUGGGAGCCGUGGCACUGUCAAGUCAUCAGACGCGGUGAUUGCGAGGCCUGUGGGAAAGUACAAAAGCCUGAGCUAGAUUACCCCUCUCAUCGAGCCCGCCUGUGUGGCACCUGUUUCUUAUCACCCCACUAAGUUCCCGCCUCACAGGGUAGUCUGCCUAGCUAUUAAUCCUAUAUAUAGCCAGUGCCUCCACCCCCGAGAGAGAGACUGAAGCAUGCAAGGAGCCGCGGGGAGCGGACCGGUAGAGGCUUCGGGGGAGAGAAGCCCGGAAGGAGCCGCGGAGAGCGGACCGGUAGAGGCUUCGGGGCAGACUGUAUAAGGAGAGAAUAAAGAAAAGGUUGUCCACUGCCAGACUUUGUCGUGUGUCCUUCCUGCCGGCCGGGAGCGACAUCGACAUUUGGUGGCCCGCACGGGGAUUGAUCAACCCCGAGACGCGGCGGUGGACUGCAUUCUCCUACACAGUGCUGCAGCUGCAGGACAGGAAUCGGGACAAGAACCAAUGUGGGUCCCAGAGAGGUUGACGCGACAAGUCCCUCGACUGAAGAUCAGGCCUGUUCCACCGGAGGCCAACCGCAGACCCAACAACAAGAUGAGCCCUAAAAGAACUGCAGGACAGUCCCUUUUUGGGGGCCUGGAACGGCUUGCUCCCCUAUGUGCUACCCUUGUAUACGCAUGGCUCGCUCGCAUGGCCUACGACCGCGUUUAAAAGUGACAGGCUUCCCACAUUCUCCUCCCUAGACAACAACAUGUAGCAGGGUGGGUGAGUCAAUGACGGGUAAGAGCGUGCCUCCCCAGCACGACUCAACCUAAGCCAGGCCCUACCCCGUUCCGCUCGAAAGCCGCUGGAUUGUUAGAUAAAUUUCUCUCCGAGGGGAUUCGUGGAGAGAAAUGAGUGCAUGCCUAUGUGCAACCAGGUUCCGUCCGGUUCAUUCCUGGCCCUAGAAAAAAGGACGAGGGCCUCAGGGCCUUGGUGGACCCUGGGACGGCCGACCAGGGUCUACGCUAAGGGCCUACGGUGGGCCUCAGUUCGGGGCAUAGGCCUCUGCACUCUAUCCAGGACGGGCUGCGAUGCGCGUAGCCAUCAUUUAAAAUAAAAUAGGGGGAGAUGUUGGGAGCCGUGGCACUGUCAAGUCAUCAGACGCGGUGAUUGCGAGGCCUGUGGGAAAGUACAAAAGCCUGAGCUAGAUUACCCCUCUCAUCGAGCCCGCCUGUGUGGCACCUGUUUCUUAUCACCCCACUAAGUUCCCGCCUCACAGGGUAGUCUGCCUAGCUAUUAAUCCUAUAUAUAGCCAGUGCCUCCACCCCCGAGAGAGAGAGAGACUGAAGCACAAAAGGAGCCGCGGGGAGCGGACCGGUAGAGGCUUCGGGGGAGAGAAGCCCGGAAGGAGCCGCGGAGAGCGGACCGGUAGAGGCUUCGGGGCAGACUGUAUAAGGAGAGAAUAAAGAAAAGGUUGUCCACUGCCA